UUUGAAUUACGCGAGGGUCUCGCGUUUAUUCGAACAAUUAUUCGAGGCAUUCUAUUCCUAAAGUCAGCUAUACUGUUCGGAAACUUGGACAUUUCCUAUUAUAAAUAAUACAAAAAAUUCCUAUGUGAACUCUCGAAAUUGUUCGGACCGAAGAAGCCACGCGGUUAAAUUUAUCGCCACGAACAUAUCCACGAACGGAGAGUUUGCGAUCCUCUCGUGGAAUCGUAGGACGCGGGAUUCAACCUGGAAGGAUGGGAAGCUCGGAUAAGGAAAGAAAGUAUACAAGACAGCGCCCACAAAUGUAGAGGGUGAUCUUUCACGAGAUCGUGAAUCGAGAACUGAGAGACCCAGAAGAAUCUUUCCUUGACCGUGUCGCCGACUUUUACGGUCGAUCGUCUCCGAGAGCUUUUACGGAUCUUGAUGAGAGAAUACCACCGCGAUGUGUAAACCAUGAGCGUCUCUCGAGCCUUUGAAACUCUUCGUUCCUCGGAAAAGCGAAGGUAAACGGAUGGAAAAUGGACUAAGCAGGUACGGCCUUGAAAAUCGGAUCACUUUCAAGGUUUCAAGUGACUCUCGAACGGGGUAACUCUAACACUUUGAACUUUUUAACGACUAUCGUGUGUGUAAAAUUUGAAAAGAUGUAAAUAUACAGCAUGUUACGUUUAAGGAUGGUCACUCAUGUGAAAAUCAACUGCCAGUAAUUUUCUAGAUUAAAAUUUGAAAAUAGAUGGAAUAAAUGCAGUGUGUAAAAUUGAGUUUGAAAAUUAAUUUUGAGUAAAUUAAUUUUUGAAAAAAAAUACAUACAUGUCAGGAUUUGGGUGGUUUACUCUAUAUAUGAAAUCUUCGUGCACAUUAUUCUUUUGAGGAACACAAAGAAUCGAAAGAUGCCCUACAAUUUUGUCGCAGAGUGCAGUCGAGGAGGCAGACGGACAACCAAUCUUGUCCGAACUCUGACUUUUCCAAGCAAGUGAUUACACGGAUUGCGGGAGCUUUAAACAGACCGACAGCAAGCGUUCCUUUGUCCUAUCGCAAACGAUCGGACGAUCGGACGUAACGACACAAGACGAGGAACAUACCUAAUCGAAUUUUGAGAAACUUGUUACGGCGCGUCUUACGGGAAGAGGGACUGCCUUUGUGGACGUGUUCUCCGCGAAAUGCCAAAGCGAGAACCGUACAGACAAUUAAAGAUGAACAAUGCGCCACGAACGCCGAUGUCCUCUCGAAACUAUGCUCGGUCGGAAGCACGCCUAUACGGCUCGCUCCCCAUCGUUCGAAGACCAAAGUCGUUCAAGUUCCAGGGACUUAAGUUCCGAGCGUAAUUUCGCGUUCGUGGAAGCCACGGAAAACGCACGGGGCUGUUCCGAGAUAAAAGUAGCCACGCGAAAAGGGAAAACCGUCGCUUUGUCCUCAAAGCAUAAAGUCGGGCGCAACGAAUAGCCAUCACCGCGGUCCCGUGGCUUUUCGGGGGACGGAGGGGGCCAAACGAGGCCACUUUAAUUUACGAAACUUGCUUGACAUGCACGUCCAACCAGGGACGUUGAUUUACUAACGUACGAGGGACUAAGCGAACCUAUUUCGACAGGAAAUCGAGCAGACAUCGAGAGAGUGCAUGUGUGCGUGAGCCACGUACAAAGGGUUGGCCAGCCUACGCUGUGAUCGGAAGCUGUCAAUAUUUGUUCGUGUCCGGUAACCGAGUAGCGAGCGAUGAACCGUAACGUCAUCAAUUAUCUCUUACAUACCGCUGCUCCGUGCCCGUUGUCAAAUUUCGUCUGCUUCAUGCCCCGAUAGGCCGCGACUUCCUGAUGUGGGGACCAACCUCGCGUGCCACGCCUCCAUUGUCUCUUUCUACUUACCUAGAGUGCCGGCCAGAUUUGAGUAAACCGAUGGAAAUUGUCUCUGGACCGCGGAGAACAAUAAUGACCACGGUCGAAAUUCCACCCUGGGUGGAAAUUGCUCGAGCGGAAUGUCGAGACCGGUCCUCCACCGUUGAAUCGAUACUUGGCCCGUAUGAUGCGAGCAAUGGUUCGGUCCUCGACGCGUAGAACCGCUCGCUGACUCGCGCGAAUAUCCUCCGGAGGGAAUUGGAGGAUUGCGAAAGAGGCGAACGAGGCUGGCGGAAAAAGAGAGAAGUAGCCGGGGAUAUUUCGUGGCGACGCGAUUUCGAAUGAUACCGGGAAUCGACCAACCACCUGGGAUAAUAUUCCCUGACAGUUCCAUUGGAUCUUUUUAUUUCAAAUUUCAAUUUUUUUUUUUUUUUUUCAUGAGAGAGAAAUAUUGUGGGUAUCAGUUGGAAUAACGGGGUAACACGUCUAUUGUCAGAAUUACAAACAUGAACGCCGUAUAGGAAGUGCUAUAAAAUAAAUAAAAAAAAAGAGGUAGUUCGACGGUUCUCAUGAUUCCAGUCGUCCCAUUUAUUUAAAAAAUAUAUGUAUAUAAUUUAUUGUAAUUUCUUGAAGUAUUACCUCGAAAAAAAUUAAAGAUAUCAGCUGUCACUCCUCGGAGGUCACCGUGAGACGUAGCUGUUCAUGUACAUUCUGACCACAGUUUUCAUUCUCAAUUGAAAGAGAUAUUCAGGUGGUAUGUUUUAGGUGGGACACUCUAUAAAUCGUUGAAAAAGGACAAAAUUAUUUCUCCAUGUUAAAUAUAACUAAAUAUAAAUAAUGAAUCUAAAAAAACUCAUGACUCUAAACUCAUUGAUGAUCUCAUUUGUCCCUGAUGCAGGCUCAGUAGAUGAUGCUGAGGAUUCUGAAUGCUCGGGUAUUCUAGAUAGUUUAGCUUUGGAGGUGUCAUAGUCAGAUGAUUCUUCCAUAUCUGAAGGUGUUGAAAUAAAACCUUCUUAUGCAGGAAUUAAAUCGCUACGGAGAGUUUCCUGGUAAUCCAAUCUUGUCCCCAAAGCCUUCCAUAAUGAGAUUGAUUAAUACAAAAAUUACUCCAAUUAAAUUUAAAGAAACAGAUAUAGAAGACUUACCACAUUCCUGAAUAAUAUCUUAAAGAAGAAUUAAUUUUUGAAUGUUUCUUCACGCAUUCAAUCAUCUCGCGAGCGAGCGAGUAGAGUGAGUGAGUCGUCGAAGGGUGACUAAAUCACUUUGUCAGAUGUUGGUUUGUCCCUGUCCACGGGCCACUCGCUGGGAAACUAUGGCACGUGCGGUCACAAUUGUCACAAAGUAAAUGACAAACUAAAGGGUUAAUUAAACCAACGUCAGCCAGGUGCUCGUGUAAAUAAUCAUGCACCAUCCGCGGAGUGUUCGUGUUUGUUCCAUGUGUCACGCUCAAGACGGAAUCAAGGGUCAACGAGUGUCCUAUCCUCUAUAAGGUGCAAAAGGUUUCAUCCCGAUUGGUCAAGCUAUCUCGGCGUAAUCGUUGAACAGACAUUAAAAAAAUAAUAUACGAAUCGAAUUGAGAGUACCUCCUCCUUUUUCGAAGUCGGUUAAAAAGAGGUACAAUAUACGAUAGUGGGAAGUGACACAGGAAAUUGCUUUGAAAAUUCAUAUAUGUAUUUAACUCUGUGGCUUCGUAUUUAUUUACAGAUUUGCUAAUGUCAUUGUAAACGAACUUAGCUGUAGCUACGCUUUGUUUAGUUAACAUUACAAAAUGUGCACUAACUUCUACGCGACAUAUAAGUUUCUAUGAAUUUGUUUUCAUGUAAUAAUUUAAAUCACAUUUAUUAGCUACUUCACUUAACUACCGCCAAGCUGCUGCACAAGCAACGCGCGAGAAGUAAUCGAUACGCGAUGAUGAGUUGUACUUGUUAGACAACAACUUGGCCGAAUCUAAAUCUAAUACAAUCAAACGUAAGCUUGACACAAGACAGUAGCUAAACAUAGACAUCGAGUGAUUUGAAGAUCUUUUAGUUCCUCUGCGUGCGCGACAUGUUUUGUUAUUCGGUAGACGUGAUGUUAAAGCGCAAAUGAAGCUGAAAAAUGAACGGUUCACUAAUCUCACGCUGGUUAUCGAAUGAUCUAGUGAUGAGGAACAUAUCUUGCAAAUACUAUACUGGCAUAGUUUCUUCGUUUGUUUUAUCAAAAUGUUUCCAUCUGUCGUUUAUAAAUCUAACACAGGAAACUGCUUCUUCGAUGGUACAAUGCUGGCAAAAAAAUCAAUGUCUUCAGAACCGCUUUAAUCACUU